GAAACUUCGUUCCCUCCUGAGUGGAUCCUGAGUACGGCCGGACACGUGAAAUCCGGUCGGAAGCAGGGAGGACCAUCUCCCAAGGCUAAAUACUCCCUAGUGACCGAUAGUGAACCAGUACCGUGAGGGAAAGGUGAAAAGCACCCCGGAAGGGGAGUGAAAUAGUUCCUGAAACCGUGUGCCUACAAGUAGUUAGAGCCCGUUAAUGGGUGAUAGCGUGCCUUUUGUAGAAUGAACCGGCGAGUUACGAUUACAUGCAAGGUUAAGUUGAAGAGACGGAGCCGCAGCGAAAGCGAGUCUGAAUAGGGCGAAUGAGUAUGUGGUCGUAGACCCGAAACCAGGUGAUCUACCCAUGUCCAGGGUGAAGUCCAGGUAACACUGGAUGGAGGCCCGAACCCACGCACGUUGAAAAGUGCGGGGAUGAGGUGUGGGUAGCGGAGAAAUUCCAAUCGAACUUGGAGAUAGCUGGUUCUCUCCGAAAUAGCUUUAGGGCUAGCCUCACGUAGUAAGAGUCUUGGAGGUAGAGCACUGUUUGGACUAGGGGCCCUCAUCGGGUUACCGAAUUCAGACAAACUCCGAAUGCCAAAGACUUAUCCGUGGGAGUCAGACUGCGAGUGAUAAGAUCCGUAGUCAAAAGGGAAACAGCCCAGACCACCAGCUAAGGUCCCAAAGUAUACGUUAAGUGGAAAAGGAUGUGGAGUUGCUUAGACAACCAGGAUGUUGGCUUAGAAGCAGCCACCAUUUAAAGAGUGCGUAAUAGCUCACUGGUCGAGUGACUCUGCGCCGAAAAUGUACCGGGGCUAAACGUAUCACCGAAGCUGUGGAUUGACAUCUUAGAUGUCAGUGGUAGGAGAGCGUUCUAAGGGCGUUGAAGCUAGACCGUAAGGACUGGUGGAGCGCUUAGAAGUGAGAAUGCCGGUAUGAGUAGCGAAAGAUGAGUGAGAAUCUCAUCCACCGAAUGCCUAAGGUUUCCUGAGGAAGGCUCGUCCGCUCAGGGUUAGUCGGGACCUAAGCCGAGGCCGAAAGGCGUAGGCGAUGGACAACAGGUUGAUAUUCCUGUACCACCUCUUUAUCGUUUGAGUGAUGGGGGGACGCAGGAGGAUAGGGUAAGCGCACUG
rnacentral:rRNA from 1 species